rfam:Bacillus sp. FJAT-27997 Scaffold1, whole genome shotgun sequence.
UGGGCAGUAUCAUUCGAACUGCACCUGCACGGCCUUUUAAAAUCAACAAAUUAAAAAUUUCUGCCUUGAUCCAGUAUUGGACGGGGACGGAGGG